rnacentral:tRNA from 1 species
GUCUGCAUGGCUCAGAUGGUAAAGCAUCUGCCUACAAUGCAGGAGACCUGGGUUCAAUCCCUGUGUUGGGA